AACGAACGCUGGCGGCAUGCCUAACACAUGCAAGUCGAACGAGACCUUCGGGUCUAGUGGCGCACGGGUGCGUAACGCGUGGGAACCUGCCCUUAGGUUCGGAAUAACUCCCCGAAAGGGGUGCUAAUACCGGAUAAUGUCUUCGGACCAAAGAUUUAUCGACUUUGGAUGGGCGCGCGUUGGAUUAGCUAGUUGGUAGGGUAAAAGCCUACCAAGGCGACGAUCCAUAGCUGGUCUGAGAGGAUGAUCAGCCACACUGGGACUGAGACACGGCCCAGACUCCUACGCGAGGGAGCAGUGGGGAAUAUUGGACAAUGGGCGAUAGCCUGAUCCAGCAAUGCCGCGUGAGUGAUGAAGGCCUUAGGGUUGUAAAUCUCUUUUACCCGGGAUGAUAAUGACAGUACCGGGAGAAUAAGCACCGGCUAACUCCGUG
rnacentral:rRNA from 1 species